rnacentral:lncRNA from 1 species
GCCAAUUUGUCCUCACUCUCUUCGUGGGUUUCCUCGAUUUCGACUUCCGAUUUCCCAAAUCAAAGUUGUAAUUGUUGGUGUCCUCGACUAUGUUGUUGUUGUCGUCAUAAUUAUCGCCGCCGGCGCCGCCGUUAACGAGGUUAGUUAAAGGCCGGGUCUUUGAGGUUUUAGCAGCGAGGGUAGGGUCCUUGUGGAAACGCCAGGUUUUGGGGCCUCUUCGGAAGUGAGUGUCGGAAGGCGAGUUGCCGAUCUCGCCUAAUCGAACACUUGGUCGGCGCUGCCGUUUCGGGGCCAAACUGGGGCCUAUG